CUUCCUACCGAUGGGCUCGCGUUAUUAUAGUGCGGAGAAGCGGUACAUCUGCACGUCAAAGGAGCGGAGAGAGGGAGAGAUGGGAAAGAAGGCCAUGGCUCCGGCGGCGGUGGCGGCGCUGCUGCUGUGUUUCGGGAUCGCCGGAGUCGUAUCGGACGCCUCCGACCACCGCUACAAGCCUGACGAUCCGGUCCCUCUCUACGCCAACAAGGUUGGCCCCUUCCACAACCCUAGCGAGACCUAUCGGUACUUUGAUCUCCCCUUCUGCACCCCAGAGCAUCUAACUGAGAAAAAAGAAGACCUUGGUGAAGUUUUGAAUGGGGACCGCCUUGUUGUUGCCCCAUACAAACUUGAUUUUCGUGUGGAUCAAGAUUCCCAAGUGGUCUGCAAGAAACAUCUCACAAAGGAAGAUGCAGCCAAGUUCAGGAAUGCAGUCAUGAAGGAUUACUAUUUUCAGAUGUAUUAUGAUGACCUCCCUAUUUGGGGAUUCAUUGGGAAGGUUGACAAGGAAGGAAAGGACCCAAGUGAGUACAAGUACUUCCUUUACAAGCAUAUCCACUUUGACAUUCUCUACAACAAUGACCGUGUGAUCGAGAUUAAUGUCCAUACGGAUCCCAAUGCACUGGUGGAUGUUACGGAGGACAGGGACAUUGAUGUAGAGUUUCUAUAUUCUGUGAAGUGGAAAAGAGACAACCACACCCUUUAGCAAGAGAAUGGAUAAGUACUCGCAGUCCUCUUCGCAGCCACACCACUUGGAGAUACAUUGGUUCUCAAUAAUAAAUUCAUGCGUCACAGUUCUUCUCUUGACCGGCUUUCUUGCCACAAUUCUCAUGCGAGUUUUGAAGAAUGAUUUCGUCAAGUAUGCUCAUGACGAGGAGUCAGCUGAUGACCAAGAAGAGACUGGGUGGAAAUAUAUCCAUGGGGAUGUCUUUAGGUUUCCAAAGAACAAUUCACUUUUUGCUGCUUGUCUUGGUGCUGGCACUCAGUUAUUUGCUCUCACGGUUUUUAUUUUUAUUCUUGCACUGGUUGGGGUAUUCUACCCCUACAAUCGUGGAGCUCUUUUUACUGCUCUGGUGGUCAUCUACGCACUUACUUCAGGCGUUGCUGGUUACACUGCUACCUCUUUCUAUUGUCAGCUUGAAGGGACAAACUGGGUGAGGAAUUUGCUUUUGACAGGAUGCCUGUUCUGUGGGCCUCUCUUCCUGAUGUUUUGCUUCCUGAAUACUGUUGCCAUUGUUUAUAGUGCUACUGCAGCAUUACCAUUCGGCACUAUUGUUGUUAUUGCUCUCAUAUGGACACUGGUAACUGCUCCUUUGCUUGUUUUGGGUGGAAUUGCUGGUAAAAACAGCAGGACAGAGUUCCAAGCUCCUUGUCGUACCACCAAGUAUCCUAGAGAGAUUCCACCCUUGCCAUGGUAUCGAGGAACUAUCCCACAGAUGGCAAUGGCUGGGUUUCUGCCUUUCAGUGCCAUCUACAUCGAACUUUACUACAUAUUUGCCAGUGUGUGGGGCCACAGGAUUUACACCAUAUAUAGCAUUCUCUUUAUAGUUUUCCUCAUUCUCCUCAUUGUCACUGCUUUCAUUACCAUAGCAUUGACCUACUUUCAGUUGGCUGCUGAAGAUCAUGAAUGGUGGUGGAGGUCAUUCCUUUGUGGAGGAUCAACUGGGUUAUUUAUUUACGGAUACUGCUUGUACUACUACCAUGCUCGCUCAGAUAUGUCAGGUUUCCUGCAAACUUCUUUCUUCUUUGGGUAUAUGGCGUGCAUCUGCUAUGGUUUCUUCUUAAUGCUUGGGAUGGUGGGCUUCCGUGCUGCCUUGCUGUUUGUCCGUCACAUAUACCGGUCCAUCAAGUGCGAGUAGCCAAUUCCAGAUUGAGAUCAGAUACAUAUGCCUCUUUUUGGUCGUGUAAGCUUUGCUUAUGGAGAAAGAAAGGCAUAUUUGAUGUGUGAAAGGCUGAAUUUACAUGCAGAUUGGAAGCAGCAGCAGCAGCAACAGUUUAAGUAGGAUCAUUAUUUCUAGGGAUAGGUACUUGAGGCUAUGAAUCAUUUUUUUUUGGUGGGAUAGCCCUUUGGUCAGUUCUUUGUCCUGCUUCCUUAUCUCUCUAGUAUCUUGCUAGAAAGUUUGUAUCCAUACAAGUACCUGCACAUUUCCCCAUAGAAGUCGUGGUUUUCUAUACAUAGUGAUGAACUUAUAUUUGCAUGGUUUGUUCUGUUUGAUAUACUAGCUACUAGUUACAUUUCAAAGCUAUUCGAUGAGAAUCUUAUAGAUGGGUCUGUCAAUUUAGA